rnacentral:rRNA from 1 species
UACGGAGGGUGCAGGCGCUAUUCGGAAUUAUUGGGAGUAAAGAGCGCGUAGGCGGUUUCUUCAGUCAGAUGUGAAAGCCCAGGGCUUAACCCUGGAAGUGCAUUUGAAACUAAGGGACUUGAGUAUGGGAGAGGGAAGUGGAAUUCCUGGUGUAGCGGUGAAAUGCGUAGAUAUCAGGAGGAACACCGGUGGCGAAGGCGACUUCCUGGACCAAUACUGACGCUGAGGCGCGAAGGCGUGGGGAUCAAACAGG